GAGUUUGAUCGUGGCUCAGAACGAACGCUGGCGGCAUGCCUAACACAUGCAAGUCGAACGAGAUCUUCGGAUCUAGUGGCGCACGGGUGCGUAACGCGUGGGAAUCUGCCCUUGGGUGCGGAAUAACUUCUCGAAAGGGAUGCUAAUACCGCAUAAUGUCGUAAGACCAAAGAUUUAUCGCCCAAGGAUGAGCCCGCGUAAGAUUAGCUAGUUGGUGGGGUAAAAGCCUACCAAGGCGACGAUCUUUAGCUGGUCUGAGAGGAUGAUCAGCCACACUGGGACUGAGACACGGCCCAGACUCCUACGGGAGGCAGCAGUGGGGAAUAUUGGACAAUGGGCGAAAGCCUGAUCCAGCAAUGCCGCGUGAGUGAUGAAGGCCCUAGGGUUGUAAAGCUCUUUACCCGGGAUGAUAAUGACAGUACCGGGAGAAUAAGCUCCGGCUAACUCCGUGCCAGCCGCCGCCGU
rnacentral:rRNA from 1 species